GACGAACGCUGGCGGCGUGCCUAAUACAUGCAAGUCGAGCGCAGGAAAUCGACGGAACCCUUCGGGGGGAAGUCGACGGAAUGAGCGGCGGACGGGUGAGCAACACGUAAAGAACCUGCCCUCAGGUCUGGGAUAACCACGAGAAAUCGGGGCUAAUACCGGAUGGGUCAUCGGACCGCAUGGUCCGAGGAUGAAAGGCGAUCCGGCGCCGCCUGGGGAUGGCUUUGCGGUGCAUUAGCUAGUUGGUGGGGUAAUGGCCCACCAAGGCGACGAUGCAUAGCCGACCUGAGAGGGUGAUCGGCCACACUGGGACUGAGACACGGCCCAGACUCCUACGGGAGGCAGCAGUAGGGAAUCUUCCACAAUGGACGAAAGUCUGAUGGAGCAACGCCGCGUGAACGAUGAAGGCCUUCGGGUCGUAAAGUUCUGUUGUAAGGGAAGAACAAGUGCCGCAGGCAAUGGCGGCACCUUGACGGUACCUUGCGAGAAAGCCACGGCUAACUACGUGCCAGCAGCCGCCGUAACAC
rnacentral:rRNA from 1 species